rnacentral:piRNA from 1 species
GACCAAACAGCUGAUGUCAUUUGGAGC